rnacentral:rRNA from 1 species
CAGUCGCCACGGUAAUACGGAGGGGGCUAGCGUUGUUCGGAAUUACUGGGCGUAAAGCGCACGUAGGCGGCUUUGUAAGUUAGAGGUGAAAGCCCGGAGCUCAACUCCGGAACUGCCUUUGAAACUAGGUGACUAGAAUCUUGGAGAGGUCAGUGGAAUUCCGAGUGUAGAGGUGAAAUUCGUAGAUAUUCGGAAGAACACCAGUGGCGAAGGCGACUGACUGGACAAGUAUUGACGCUGAGGUGCGAAAGCGUGGGGAGCAAACAGGAUUAGAUACCCCCGUAGUCCCUGUCUCUUAUAA